AGUUUAGUUUCAGUUUAGUUAAAAUGAAUACUUGUUCAAUUUGUCAACUAACCUCAUUUACAAGUUUAUCCUGUGCUUUAUGUACAAAAAUUGUUGGCACCAAAUGUCAAGGUAUUACAAUCAAUGAAUACCAUGUGUGAAUACAAUGCUGUGUAUAAAACUUGUGCAGGUCCAGCUAUAAACCCCUGGUAAACCUUAUAAUUUUGCCAGAAGCAGUUUCACACACAACAUUUACAAAGCUGGUGGUUCUAUAAAAAAUAAAGGAAAGAAUAAAUUUUAAAGUUGUCAUCGGCUAAAAAGGCAGUUUCUUGACAUAAGCCUCUUUUAUCAUUAAAGGACUAUUAUACUACACAGGAGAAAGCAGUAUUUGUGAAUCAGAAACUUUUUAAUUAGAUAACGUUUAAUACAAAAGUCGCAUUCAUAUCUAAAAACAGGUAACGUGACACCAGGUUUUUAAACAGUUGAUGAACCUAUUGAACCUCGGAUUUAGUUGAUGAACCUAUUGUCUACUGUUGAAACAUGAUUUGAUUCAGUAAAUUUUUAUUAUUUGAAUUUUACUGUAUUAAUCAUUAGUCAACAGUUAGCGAGAAACUGGAGUUCUACGUAAAUGAGGUAAAAAUAAUUUUGUUCACUGGUAACAUUCCAAAACAGUUUUUGUGGUUUAUUGUUUUAUAGCUAUAUUGUGCUACUAUAUUGUUUUAAUGAUAGAUUAAUUGAUGAACAUUCCAAUCGUCACCGAAAAUUGAAUUUUCCUGUUUGUUGCAGGAGUAUGGUAGACUUAAAGAAGCAGUUCAUAUCUAAACGACACAAACUGUCAAAAGCAAGAGAAAUAAAGAA